GACGGGGGAUGCAAGUGUUAUCCGGAAUCACUGGGCGUAAAGCGUCUGCAGGUGGUUUCCUAAGUCCACUGUUAAACCUUGAGGCUCAACCUCAAAUCUACAUUGGAAACUAGGAGACUUGAGUAUAGUAGGGGUAGAGGGAAUUUCCAGUGGAGCGGUGAAAUGCGUAGAUAUUGGAAAGAACACCGAUGGCGAAGGCACUCUACUGGGCUAUUACUGACGCUGAGGAGCGAAAGCGUGGGGAGCGAACAGG
rnacentral:rRNA from 1 species